GAUGAACGCUGGCGGCGUGCCUAAUACACGCAAGUCGAACGAAGAUCUAGCUUGCUAGAUCUUAGUGGCGAACGGGUGAGUAAUACAUAAAUAAUCUGCCCAUAUGACUGGGAUAACUAUUGGAAACGAUAGCUAAUACCGGAUAGGUUGAUCGGAGGCAUCUCUGAUGAAUUAAAGUAGGAUUUCUACACAAAUGGAUGAGUUUAUGGCGCAUUAGUUAGUUGGUGGGGUAACGGCCUACCAAGACGAUGAUGCGUAGCCGACCUGAGAGGGUGACCGGCCACACUGGGACUGAGACACGGCCCAGACUCCUACGGGAGGCAGCAGUAGGGAAUUUUCGGCAAUGGGCGCAAGCCUGACCGAGCAACGCCGCGUGAGUGAUUAAGGCCUUCGGGUUGUAAAGCUCUGUUGUAAGGGAAGAACAUUCAGGAUAGGAAAUGAUCUUGAACUGACGGUACCUUACCAGAAAGCCACGGCUAACUACGUGCCAGCCGCCGCCGUAAGAC
rnacentral:rRNA from 1 species